AUGUUGUUGCUAAGCCGGAAACAAAGCAUGUGAAUGUUUUUUUUUUUGGCACAGCGUCGUUUGGAAAGUGCACUUCCUUGUUCUGACCUUGCCUUUUAUGGGCUGGAGCGAUAUGAUUCGUGAAUAUGCCACGGCGAAGUUGUCGAAGAUGCGACAGUGCUACGCUGUUAGAACAAUUCAUCGGAGCAUUCAAGUGUUACCUAUUAUAAGCUUCCAAAAGACCAAGCAGUGCGAAGCUCUUGGCUGACAGUGGUGCCUGCUAAUUUCCACUGCAAGGAUUUCGUCCACGAAUGUUAUCAUAGGUUACGCGCGACUCCAGAGGCAAUUUGGAAUCUCGGCACGAAAUCGUCUGAUGAAAAUCUGAGGUGCCCGACGUAUAACAUUUUGAACAUGCCACGGAGGAUCAAGGCAAAAAACGAGAGCAAAAACAGGUAAGUCGAGGUUCAGAUAUAAAAAAUAGCAAGCUUAAUGAAUCGAUUGUGCAGCUGUCCUACUGCGCUUACUCUGAUAUAACCACGAUUAACAACACAAUAGUACUAUUGAUAAUUUAACUUCUGAAUUAUCACAGGUGCACGCUGAAGGCGGAAAUGAAGCAUGAUCUGGCUUGCAUCAUGGUCAUGAAGAAAUUGCUGACACGUUAGUUGCAGUCCACCUCCACCAACAGACAUCUUGACACCACUUUUAAAUCUGCCCUCAAAGUUACAACCUCUGCUUUCGGGGUGGAAAACAAAGGUCGCCAUUCCGAUUAGCUGCUCUCUCCCAGUUCAAGCACUUUUGUGUCUGGACACUGGUUCCUGUGGAUGGGGUGUUACAAGCUUCACUGUCUGAUAUAGAAGUGAUGAGCAUCCAUAAGGACACAUGACAGAAAGGGAGUCUCUUUGGGAUGACAAAUCCUCAUCACCUCAUGAGGAUACAAUGGUUGACGAAUGGUUCUCAAGCACAUCGAAACUUUCAACAAAUAAUUCAUGAAAAAGCCAGUCAG